ACCCGCUGAACUUAAGCAUAUCAAUAAGCGGAGGAAAAGAAACCAACAGGGAUUGCCCCAGUAACGGCGAGUGAAGCGGCAACAGCUCAAAUUUGAAAUCUGGUCCCCUCUGGGGGCCCGAGUUGUAAUUUGAAGAGGAUGCUUCUGGCGAGGCGCCGUCCGAGUUCCCUGGAACGGGACGCCGCAGAGGGUGAGAGCCCCGUACGGUCGGCCGCCGAGCCUCUGUGAAGCUCCUUCGACGAGUCGAGUAGUUUGGGAAUGCUGCUCAAAAUGGGAGGUAAACCCCUUCUAAAGCUAAAUACCGGCCAGAGACCGAUAGCGCACAAGUAGAGUGAUCGAAAGAUGAAAAGCACUUUGAAAAGAGAGUUAAAAAGCACGUGAAAUUGUUGAAAGGGAAGCGCUUGCGACCAGACUUGCGCCCGUCGGAUCAGCCGUCCCUCGCGGGCGGCGCACUCCGGCGGGCUCAGGCCAGCAUCGGUUCGCCUCGGGGGGAGAAAGGCGGCGGGAAUGUGGCUCUACGGAGUGUUAUAGCCCGCCGCGCAAUACCCCCGGGCGGACCGAGGACCGCGCGUAUGCAAGGAUGCUGGCGUAAUGGUCGUCAGCGACCCGUCUUGAAACACGGACCAAGGAGUCGUCCUAAUAUGCGAGUGUAAGGGUGUCAAACCCCUGCGCGGAAUGAAAGUGAACGGAGGUGAGAGCUUCGGCGCAUCAUCGACCGAUCCUGAUGUUCUCGGAUGGAUUUGAGUAAGAGCAUAUUGGGCCGGACCCGAAAGAAGGUGAACUAUGCCUGUGUAGGGUAAAGCCAGAGGAAACUCUGGUGGAGGCUCGCAGCGGUUCUGACGUGCAAAUCGAUCGUCAAACAUGGGCAUGGGGGCGAAAGACUAAUCGAACCUUCUAGUAGCUGGUUUCAGCCGAGCY
rnacentral:sRNA from 1 species